rnacentral:lncRNA from 1 species
GCGCUCAUCAGUACGGACAAACGGACAGACAAACAUGGCUCUAUCGACUCGGCUAUUGAUGCUGAUCAAGAAUAUGUAUACUUUAUGGGGUCGGAACCGUUUUCUUCUGUACGUUACAUAUAACCGUUAUUCGCACAAAUACAAUAUACCCUAUUUACUCUUCGAGUACCGGGUAUAAAAAAUUGAACCAGAAACUUUUAAUUUGACUUUUUGUUUGUUGAGUAUCCAGCAACGUUAACGAAAUCCAUGGAUUCUUAUCGAUAUAUCGGUACGAAGUACGUGUGUGUACUGAGAGAACAGCUGGUGCACCAUUCAUCUACAUACAUACUUCACUUCACCCGCCAACUCACCACCCUGCCCCAUUGACACACUCAGCAUGAUGCACCCACACGGGGUGGGGGAAGCAAACUGAUCUGAUAGAAC